GCUAAUGCUCUCCUGCAUGCACCCGACAGACCCUGCGUGGUAUCAGACCUGGCCAGGCCCUGGGAGCAAGCCCUCUGCAAGCACAAAGAUCCCUGCCUCCCAGCACACCCAGAACUGGUCAGCCACGUGGACCAAGGACAGCAAGCGUCGGGACAAGCGCUGGGUCAAGUACGAGGGAAUCGGGCCCGUGGAUGAGAGCGGCAUGCCCAUUGCCCCCCGAUCCAGUGUUGACAGACCCAGAGACUGGUACCGGAGAAUGUUCCAGCAGAUUCACCGGAAAAUGCCAGACCUGCAGCUGGACUGGACCUUCGAGGAGCCACCCAGAGACCCCAGGCAUCUAGGAGCCCAGCAAAGACCUGCCCACAGGCCCGGCCCGGCAGCAUCUUCCAGUGGAAGAAGCUGGGACCACUCUGAAGAGUUACCUAGAAGCACCUUUAGCUACAGACCUGGAGCAUUCUCCACUGUGCUGCAGCCCCCAAAUCAGGUGCUCAGAUGCCGAGAAAAAGUAGACAAUGUCUGGACGGAAGAAUCCUGGAACCAGUUUCUGCAGGAACUAGAGACUGG
rnacentral:sRNA from 1 species